rnacentral:rRNA from 1 species
CAAGUCGAACGGUAAGGCCCCCUUCGGGGGGUACACGAGUGGCGCACGGGUGAGUAACGCGUGGGCAAUCUGCCUUCAGGUCUGGGACAACUUCGGGAAACUGGAGCUAAUACCGGAUAAGACCACGAGGUCUUCGGACCUUGCGGAAAAAGGUGGCCUCUCCUUGGAAGCUAUCGCCUGUUGAUGAGCCCGCGUCCCAUUAGCUUGUUGGUGAGGUAACGGCUCACCAAGGCUUUGAUGGGUAGCUGGUCUGAGAGGAUGAUCAGCCACACUGGAACUGAGACACGGUCCAGACUCCUACGGGAGGCAGCAGUCGGGAAUCUUGGGCAAUGGGGGCAACCCUGACCCAGCAACGCCGCGUGAGGGAUGAAGGCCCUCGGGUCGUAAACCUCUGUCGGGAGGGAAGAAAGGCCACCGUUCUAAUACAGCGGUGACUUGACGGUACCUCCAAAGGAAGCGCCGGCUAACUCCGUGCCAGCAGCCGCGGUAAUAAGGAGGGCGCAAGCGUUGUUCAGAAUCAUUGGGCGUAAAGCGCGCGUAGGCGGCUUGGCAAGUCGGGUGUGAAAUCCCGGGGCUCAACCCCGGAACUGCACU